ensembl:misc_RNA Metazoa_SRP Metazoan signal recognition particle RNA
GCCAGGUGUAGUGGCGUGAACCUGUGGUUCCAGCUACUUGGAAGGCUGAGGUGGGAGGAUCACUUGAGCCCAGGAGGUCGAGGCUGCAGUGGGCCAUAAUUGUGCCACUUCAUUCCAGCCUGGGCAACAGAGUGAGAUCCUGUCUCAA